rnacentral:lncRNA from 1 species
CUGGAGCGACCUGCAAAAUAAGUCUCAAAUCGGAGAUUGUGGCUCCGGCGAGAACCCUUCGAUAUUCAAGUUAAAAAAGCAGAGAACAAGAAAGCAGCAAUGAGUUCUCUGGGAGGGAUUCGAUUGAACUUACCUGGGUCCUCGGGGCUCUGGCUAUUUAUAUAGAAGGAUGUUGGAUAGCUGGAUUAUUAGCUGUGAGAUUGUACGAUCUCGAGAUUGUCAGAUCAUUGGACAUGCCAAACUGGGCGAGAUAAUUCAGCUCUUAAACGCUCCCGC